rnacentral:rRNA from 1 species
CCUACGGGUGGCAGCAUGGGGAAGAGUGGGCAAGGGGCGCAAGCCGGACCCAGAAACGGCGAGUGAAGGAAGAAGGAUUUCGGGUUGUAAACGUCUUUUAAGAGGGAAGAGCAGAAGAGGGAACCUCGUGAAUAAGCCACGGCUAACUACGUGCCAGCAGCCGCGGUAAGACGCAGGAGGCAAGCGUGGUCCGGAUUUACUGGGUGUAAAGGGCGUGUAGCCGGGGUGACAAGUCAGAGGUGAAAUCCCGUGGCUCAACCACGGAACUGCCUUUGAAACUGUCGGUCUUGAGUAUCGGAGCGGCAGGCGGCAUUCCUAGUGUAGCGGUGAAAUGCUUAGAUAUUAGGCGGCACCCCAGUGGCGAAGGCGGCCUGCUGGACGACAACUGACGGUGAGGCGC